UUCCAGGUGUAGCGGUGAAAUGCGUAGAGAUCUGGAGGAAUACCGGUGGCGAAGGCGGCCCCCUGGACGAAGACUGACGCUCAGGUACGAAAGCGUGGGGAGCAAACAGGAUUAGAUACCCUGGUAGUCCACGCUGUAAACGAUGUCGAUUUGAAGGUUGUGGUCUUGAGCCGUGGCUUUCGGAGCUAACGCGUUAAAUCGACCGCCUGGGGAGUACGGCCGCAAGGUUAAAACUCAAAUGAAUUGACGGGGGCCCGCACAAGCGGUGGAGCAUGUGGUUUAAUUCGAUGCAACGCGAAGAACCUUACCUACUCUUGACAUCCAGAGAACUGAGCAGAGAUGCUUAGGUGCCUUCGGGAACUGUGAGACAGGUGCUGCAUGGCUGUCGUCAGCUCGUGUUGUGAAAUGUUGGGUUAAGUCCCGCAACGAGCGCAACCCUUAUCCUUUGUUGCCAGCGAUUCGGUCGGGAACUCAAAGGAGACUGCCGGUGAUAAACCGGAGGAAGGUGGGGAUGACGUCAAGUCAUCAUGGCCCUUACGAGUAGGGCUACACACGUGCUACAAUGGCGCAUACAAAGAGAAGCGAUCUCGCGAGAGUCAGCGGACCUCAUAAAGUGCGUCGUAGUCCGGAUUGGAGUCUGCAACUCGACUCCAUGAAGUCGGAAUCGCUAGUAAUCGUGGAUCAGAAUGCCACGGUGAAUACGUUCUCGGGCCUUGUACACACCGCCCGUCACACCAUGGGAGUGGGUUGCAAAAGAAGUAGGUAGCUUAACCUUAGGGAGGGCGUUUACCACUUUGUGAUUCAUGACUGGGGUGAAGUCGUAACAAGGUAACC
rnacentral:rRNA from 1 species